GACGAACGCUGGCGGCGUGCUUAACACAUGCAAGUCGAACGGAAAGGCCCCCUUGUGGGGUACUCGAGUGGCGAACGGGUGAGUAACACGUGAGUAACCUACCCUUGACUUUGGGAUAACUUCAGGAAACUGGGGCUAAUACCGGAUAGGAGCUCCUGCUGCAUGGUGGGGGUUGGAAAGUUUCGGCGGUUGGGGCUGGACUCGCGGCUUAUCAGCUUGUUGGUGGGGUAGUGGCUCACCAAGGCUUUGACGGGUAGCCGGCCUGGGAGGGUGACCGGCCACAAUGGGCCUACGGGACGGCGCAGUCGGCUACGGUAGGCAGCAGUGGGGAGUAUGGCACAGUGGGCGGACGCCUGAGGCAGCAACGCCGCGUGCGGGAUGACGGCCUUCGGGUUGUGAACCGCUUUCGCCUGUGACGAAGCGUGAGUGACGGUAAUGGGUAAAGAAGCACCGGCUAACUACGUG
rnacentral:rRNA from 1 species